rnacentral:lncRNA from 1 species
CUCUUUUAUGUUCUAUUAUCAAGUGGUUUAAGAAAACUCUUUAUCUUAAUGCAGAUUUAGGAAGAUGUGAAUAUCAAAUUACCCUACAAGGAAACAUGGAGCAAAUUACAACAGGAUGAUAAAGAAGUGACAAAAGGAUGGAUUCAGAGAAACCUGGGAGGAUUUGUAUGAAUUUUCGCAGUGUGAAGAGAACAAAGCCAAUUAAACAAUUUAUAUGACUACAAUAUGGAAAGAAAAGAAGAACCACAAUUAUUUUGCAACAUUGUGAUGGACUAACAAUGCUGAAGUCCCCCAACCAUCUAGUCAUCUAAUAUUAGGAAGUGAAAUCACAAGAUCUGCUGGCAGCUUUACCUUUCCUAAGAGCUCAAAAGAAUUCUGGGACUACAAGAUUGUCCUGGAAAACAAUUGUGAAAAAUUUAAGAUCUAUGAUCAAUUCCAGAAAACAACGGAUCUUCCACUUCUUGGCAGAGAGCAACAGAAUGGGACAAACAUUUUGAAACAAAGCCAGUUGUGAAUCUGGAGGGUGGGAAAGGUAGAGAUAGCAAUAUUAAAUUUUUAUUUU